GCUGCGCGCGUGUAUUUCUUUUAACUUCAAUUUCAACUAUUGGCCUCUGUAGUUCACUUUCAGCUACUGCCUGCAGUCCAUGGAUGUUUAGUCGUUUUCUGCUGCUCAAUGUUGCCGGUUGUGUUUUGGCGCUUCGAAACGCUAGCAAAAGUGGUUAAGGUGAACGCGUGUGAAGUGUGCGUUUUUUCUGACUUAAAAUAAAAACAAAAACGAGCAAUAACUUCUAGUGUUCGAAUUGAGCAAUAAGUGAUUUAUGUCAGUGAGUAUUAAAGAAAAAAAAAACAGCGUACAAAUAAAUGGAGAAAUAGCGAAAAUUUAAAGCAAUAAAAUUUAAAAAAAAAAAAAACAAAUUGCAAUUUGCAAAUUAAAGUGAAAAUCUUUAUUAAAUAGUAAAUUGUGAAUGGCUUACUACUGUGCAAGUGCCGCCAAUAAAGUGAAUAAAUACUGAAAUUACCGCUAUUACAUUCAAACACUAUAAAAUAGCAAUUUCAAUUUCUACAUCUGCUGCAUCAAUCAUUAAUCUUUCGAUAUGUAUGUAUGUAUGCUUGUACUAUAUGUACGUACUUAACAAGUGCGUAGGCGCUAGGAAAAUCGAUUUCGUAAAUGUUUGAAAAGUGCCAGACUGUUGGACAGGUGCGACCUUGAGAUUUGAUAAUUAAUAUCUUCAUACUAUCUAAACCGCAAUAGUUAACUAACAAAAUUGUUUGGAAUUGCAUCGCAUUUCAAGUGGCCGCUGUGCGCAGAAUUUUAAAAACAGAAAACUUUGUUGUUUAUUUUGUAGACGUUAUACGUGAGAAAAGCAGAUGUUUUAAAAAUUUUCAAAUGGCCUCGCAACGUGCUGCAAAUAUACAUGAAAAUACAAAUAUUAUUACCCACACGAGCCGAUAAAUUCUCCAUAAAACUAUCAGCAUGACGUAGCACCAAGAGCCCCGAACAAGUAUUUUCAAAUUACACCAAUUUGAAACCACUCCAAAUAUCAGCGAAUAAAACUGUGAUAGUUGUAGAGGAAAAAUAGACUUGGGUCGACAAUCGCAAGAAACCAACAGGAACAGCAACAGCAAAAUGCAGUCGAAGCGAAAGGAACAAAUUGCACUCAUUGCCUGCAUAUCCCUGAUAUUUAUGCUCAAUUUGUUGCUGACGACAGCAGCGGCCAAAGAAAAUAUACCUAGUAUAUAUGCAAAUGAAGAUUUGCGAGAAGAACAUACACAGCCAGAGCGUCAUAGACAACAACACAAGAAACAUCAACAUCAAAAUCAUCAUCACCAACAGCAGCAGCGACGGCAGCAGCAUCACCGUCGGCAUGCGUUGCAUGACCGCGAAAAGCGUGAGAAGGAGGUGGGCGAGGUGUCGCACAGAGCAAAUCAACAACGCACACACCACGAACAUGUGCAACACCAACACCAACACCAACAUCAUCAGCAGCAGCAACAACAACACACGCGACAGCAUCGCCAACAUCGCGGCCACACACACAAUCCUUCCAUUGGUGGCUAUGCCGCCAGCUAUCUCAGCGACAGCAGCAGUCAUCCUUCAUCAUCGGCGUCUUCUUCAUCCCACGCGCAAGCACCGUCGUCGCCGUCUUCAUCUGCAUUUUAUAAACGCUACUCACGUGACUCGGCGGCAUUUCCAGCACGUGAACGCAAGCCCAACAUUAUUCUUAUACUCACCGAUGACCAGGAUGUCGAGCUGGGAUCGUUGAAUUUUAUGCCGCGCACUCUGCGUUGGUUGCGCGAUGGCGGCGCCGAAUUUCGUCACGCCUACACGACUACGCCCAUGUGCUGCCCGGCGCGCUCCUCACUGCUGACCGGCAUGUACGUACACAAUCACCAGGUCUUCACCAACAACGACAACUGUUCGAGUCCACAGUGGCAGGCCACGCACGAGACGCGCUCCUUUGCUACAUAUCUUUCGAAUGCUGGAUAUCGCACAGGUUACUUUGGCAAGUACCUGAACAAGUACAAUGGGUCGUAUAUACCGCCGGGUUGGCGAGAAUGGGGUGGUCUAAUUAUGAAUUCGAAAUACUACAAUUACAGCAUUAACAUGAAUGGGCAGAAGAUCAAGCAUGGUUUCGAUUAUGCGAAGGAUUUCUAUCCGGACCUAAUAGCGAACGAUUCCAUAGCGUUUCUACGUUCAUCAAAACAGCAAAACCAAAGAAAACCUGUGAUGUUAACAAUGAGUUUUCCAGCGCCACAUGGACCUGAAGACUCAGCGCCACAAUAUAGUCAUCUCUUCUUCAAUGUGACAACACAUCACACACCUUCUUACGAUCACGCACCUAAUCCGGAUAAGCAAUGGAUACUGCGCGUCACACCGCCGAUGGAACCAGUGCACAAACGUUUCACGAACUUAUUGAUGACAAAACGACUGCAAACGUUGCAGAGUGUAGAUGUCGCUGUGGAGCGUGUAUGCAGCGAGCUUAGAGCGUUGGGUGAACUAGAUAACACUUACAUCAUCUAUACCUCCGAUCACGGCUAUCACUUGGGUCAGUUCGGUUUGAUAAAAGGAAAAAGUUUUCCAUUUGAGUUUGAUGUGCGUGUGCCUUUCUUGAUACGUGGACCAGGCAUACAACCGGCAAGGGUGGUCGACGAGAUCGUCUUGAAUGUCGAUCUGGCGCCCACUUUUCUGGACAUUGGUGGUGUCACAACGCCGCAACAUAUGGACGGACGCAGCAUUUUGCCGUUACUAUUCAGUCGUCAACGUAAUGUGCGUGAUCAGUGGCCAGAUACGUUUUUAAUAGAGAGCUCUGGACGACGCGAGACACCUGAACAAAUUGCCGAGUCACGUGCACGUCUACAGGCGGAUCGCCUGAAUAUGAGGCUUGCUAAUAGCACUUUUAUUGAUGGCUUCACGUUUAAUGAGACCACAGCUACUGGCUCAACAGUAGACGUGAUCGAUUUGGAAUCGCGAGAAGAGGCCGAAUUCGAAGAGGGUGCGGGCUCGGAAUCCGAAAGAGUAGCGCAAAUUGAGACAGAAAUAGAGGACGAUGCUGAGGACGAUCUCGACACCGACACCGAUAUAGAGGAUGAUGUGUCUUCUGGUGUUUUAGAUGAAGAUAUUGAAGAUGACUUGGAUGCGGAUGCAGCACAAGAAGAGGGUUUAGAUCAAGAACAGCAGGAUCAAUUCGACAACAACCUGCCAAUGGCGCCGUAUAUGACGAAAAUGAUGCGUUUGAAUUCAGAAUGUUCUGAUCCAUCCUUGCUGGAAAAUUGCCGACAUGGACAAAAGUGGAAGUGCGUUAACGAAGAUGGUCGUUGGCGUAAGCACAAAUGCAAAUUCCAUUUACAGCUGCAACAUCAUCUCGAGGAGAUAUCGAAAUUUACGAAAAAGGAAACGAAACGUAACUGCGCGUGCUUCACACCAGAUGGUGUUGUCUAUACGAAAAUCAAAACAAGCCGUAGUUACUUCGAUGGAGAUCGCAUUCGAAAGAGAACUCAGAAUCCAUCACUCUUUUCUCGACGCGAUAAACGCUCUUCGCACGACUACUCUGAAAUUUUCCAUACGGAGCUGCCGUACGAGAUGGAAGAACUGCUUGAUCUACAAGAUACGCUCUCCAUGGUUGAAGAACAGUUGACUCAACCGAAACGUACCAAACGUGAACUAACCUCCAGCUUCUUCGAAACACCUACCACCAAUGAUGCCAAUGCCGAAAACAGCUUCAAAUCGGGCACCAACUCAGCCAAUGAUUCCAUUUCCAAGGUCAUACAAGAAAUCCAAAGCACACUUGAAACUCUCGAAUUGAAAUUUAUUGCUCCAAAUGAUUUGCAUCAACCUAAUAAUACGACUACCUUGUCGGCAGCUGGCUUCGUGCGAGGUGGCAAAUUUCCCAAAGUGGGUGGACGUGUGGGCACACGCUGUUACAUUGAAUCGCAAACCGGCAAGGUGAACUGCUCUGAUGUCAUUUACGAUGAUGAAAAGACAUGGCGUAAGUCGCGCAAUCAAAUUGAUAUGCUAAUCAAAGUGCUCAAGGAUAAAAUAACGCACUUGAAGGAUAUCAAGAAGCAAAUGCGCGAGAAUAAACAACAACAGCUGAGCCAACAACAGCAACAGCAGCAAUUGCAUUAUCACUCCGGACGUUAUUGGGAUAGGGACUAUGUGCCACGCAAUGGUGCCGGUGCUGGUGUGAGCAGAAAUAAGGCGGCGGUGCAAGCAACUGGCGAUGAGCUGCCAUACAAUGUAUCGGAUUAUUUGGGGCGCAGACAAAAGGGGCGUCGACGUAAUGGCGGUGGUGGCCUAAAUAAUAACAAUUUCUAUCAGCGUGGCGGUUACCAUCAUCAUAACUACAAUCAUCAGCAAUACCGGGGGCAGCAUUUGGCUGGCGGCGCGGGAGGAGGUGGACGUCGACGCUACGACAAGACGCUGGGUGGACGCGAAUUCGAUAUGAACUACUUCACACAAGGACAUUUCGGCUUUGGCGUGACAACCACGUACAGUAAUGAGAUUAACAAUGAAAAUGGCAGUGGUGCGGGCUCAGGCUCAGGGGCGGCUGCGGCUGCGGCUGCGGCUGCGGGUAGUUAUGGUGCUAAAAGCACGUACGGUAAAGGUCGCAUGCAGGGCCACAAUGGCAGUUUGAGCGGCGGACAGUCACAAUUGCAAAGGAGACGACGGCCACAAGUGACAAAUGCAACUGCCGCACAGGUAUUCACUACAACGCAAACUACAUCACCGUCCAUAGCGCGUCCAACAACAGUGAGGCUAAUGGGUGGAGUGAGGGCAAUGACGACGACAACCACAACAACUGCACGAACAACCACAACCAAAGAUGAAGAGUCCUUUGCGGAUGCUACGGCAGCUAAACCUGCUACAACCGCUACCGUAACUGAGGAGACAGGAACAGCAGCUAGCACGACAACAACAACAAAAACACGUACGCUAUGGUCGACAACACAUGCACCAACAAACAUUAGUACUGCGCCCAGCAGCAGUGAGAGUAUAACUACAAAGGAUCCACGUGAAGCCGAUGUGCUCAGCAAUCAAGGCCAGAAGGAAGUUUUCACAGGCGUGGGCAAUACGCACAACGCUGACCCAUUUGAACAGCAAAAGGGUCAACCAGCUGAGUGCUACUGUGAACCGGAUACAGAGAGUUAUGCUGAUUCAAAGGAGAUAGCACGUGAGGCACGUCGCAAACUAAAGGAGGAGCGCCAGCGGAAAAAGGAACGGAAACGCAUCAAGAAGGCACGUCUAGAGAAGGAAUGCCUUUCGGAGAAGAUGAACUGUUUUUCGCACGAUAAUACACAUUGGCGUACGGCGCCACUUUGGAACGAUAGUCCGUUCUGUUUCUGCAUGAAUGCCAACAACAAUACCUACUCAUGUGUUCGCACCAUAAAUGCAACACAUAAUUAUUUGUACUGUGAAUUCACCACUGGUUUGAUAACGUUCUAUAAUUUGAAAAUCGAUCCCUUUGAAACACAAAAUCGCGCCUCAUCGCUGACCAGCGAGGAAAAAUCUUAUAUGCAUGACGUAUUGGAAAAGCUGAAGGGCUGUCGUGGCAAGAGUUGUACAAUUAAACGGCAUCCGCAGAAUCAGUUGCAGCAGCACCAGCAACAAAACGAAAGCGCGUUAAGAACACUGGCAAGAGACAACAAACGUAAACAUGGCCUAGCGCAAAGCACUUCAGCUCUUGGUUCGUUUGUCUCCAGCCGCCUCGACUACGACGAGCCUCUGGCUAAACGAAGAAAACUAUCAAAGUGGUCAACGCAUACAAAUUUGAAACGUAAACCUUGGAAACAACAACAUCAUUACCAUCAUCAACAUCCGCAGCAACAGCAGCCAACCUACUAUAGGCAACAACAUUUGCGACAUCACAGCAUUAGUGGUGUUGAAGGAGGCACGUUAGUUGUGGGCAAUGUAGCAGCGAGUGGAGCAAAAACUUUGCGUCGUAAUCGCUUUCAACAAGAAGUGAAUAGUCAACAUAGUAUACCACAACAGCAAAAGCUACGCGAACCACAGCAACAACAACAACAAGGAGAAGUGCAGCAGUUGCAAAAUAUUAGCAACAAAAGUGAUAACUUUGAGCAAAAAUUGAUUUCAAGCCAAAGUUUGACCACCGGCGUGGAGGACGGCAGAGGCAUGGAGCCAACGCAAAGUUUUACAGAAGUUAUUGGAACAACACCACGAACGGCUGUAGUGACAGCAGCAGCAGUAACACCGGAAGCAGUGACAAUAACAACAGCUGGAGCAACAACUACAACAACAAAUGCAACAAUACUCACCGCAGCUAUAUAAGAAAGUUGUUGGGGGGAAAUGUUAGGUGUGUAAGCUUAUCCUUUGCAUAUCCUUAAAAGCGCACACUUACAUACACUCGCCUUAGGGUAUACAUACAUAUAUAAGUGGUAGAUAUGUAUAUACAUACAUACAUACAUGCAUAUGUAGAUAUGUAUGCAACAUCGCUCAAAAGUAAAUGAAGCUAUUUAUUUCUUAUGACUCGGCAAUUUUUGGUAUCGCUUUGCCUCUGCAACUAUUUAUAUAAGCUCAGCGUCUACUGCUAAUGCAAAUUCCUUCAAAUGCAUGCACAUUAGGGUGUCCCAGAACUAAAGAGGAAAUAUUCUGUUAAAUUCGAUAUGCACAACACCUAAGUACUUACUAUUAACAAAAUAUAUCGAAUUCAAUUGCCAUUCAUUGGAUAUACCAUUUGUUUUGUUUGGUUGACGAAUUCUCCAGAUAUAAGAACUUUUUUCUUUAACAAAACUCGUUAACUAUAAAACUAAAUAAAAAAAGUAGCUCCUUAAAACUCUUAAGGAUUUAAUUAUCUAUCAGUUUUUGAAUAUUAAAUUUCACGUUUGCACCACUGUGCGUCCGAGCAAAAAUCCGCUGUAACCAGUAGUAGUUCCAGAGGUUUCCAGAGUUUUACAAAGGUUCCCAGGCUAGCUAGUUCUUGGUAUAGCACAUCUAUCCGGGCCUAAAACAAGAAAUAUAAGUGGUUAGCGCAGGAAUUUUCGUUGAGAUGGAUAUCCAAAGUAGGUAAGUAAGGUUAGAAGUUUGUUUCCCCAAACACGAUCACAUUUAAAUCACUAUCAUCGAUACUUUGAGAUGCCACUAAGAACGAUAACUGCUAAUCUAAAACCAAAAACGCUGUAUGUAGGAUCUGUUGUUAUUUUCAGUCCCAACGCCUCUUGUCAAUGCAUCCACCAGAAAUCAAAGUUGCGGCUGUGUGAUCUCAAGAAGAUCUAUAACCGGCUGCGGUACAUCUUCGAACAGAAAGGCGGUGCAGUUAACACAUGUUCUUGUUGUUGUACAGCGUUCGCUGAGCUGGAAAGAGCGGUCAACAAGUAGUCAAUGCAACGCCCCUACCCUAUUUUCUUCUUAAUUCACGGUUAGAUGAACUCGAAGGAGUAUUUCCUGGUCAACUCUUACAAUAUCACUAUGAAGCAACUAAAAGAGGGGUCGGACGUCCCCCUAGUAGAUGUUGAGCAGUCAUUCGAAUGAUUUCUUAAUUGCAUGAGCUCUUGGCGUAAUACCUCUCCCCCUUUCCACUGGUGGCUCCUUCCAACUUCUACUUGUCGCUCACUUAUCCCUGGGAGGAUUUGAUUAGAGUCACAGUAACAGGAAAAAACGCCCUUUGUCCUUUAUUUCUUAAACCGUUCCUUAAACCAGUCUUGGAUUUGUUUAAGGUUUCAUUUCUAAAUCGAAAAUAUAAAUUCACGCUGAAAUUGUUCCUUUUAAAAUCAAGUGAAAGCAAAAGUAUAUCUUGCCAACCAGUUGUACUUUUAACUAAAUAGCCAACUGAGAAGCAGAGUUCUCUCGGGUUAGUACGCUGUUAGUACGAACUUUUUUAUACUGAAGAAUAUAGUCGACUACUACAGUCUCAGCAUAACUUCAUAGAAAAAAUUUCAAUAUCAACAUGAUUUAGAUCAGAUGAUAAAAAGUAAAUAUGGUAUGCACAUCGAAUUUCACCAAAAAAAAGAUAUUCUUGUACACCCUAAUGUAUGUAAUUACAGCUACAAAUUGAAUAGGUAUUUAAACCACAGAUGAAAAUACAUGUACGGAGUAAGUCUCCUGCAGUGAAGGCUACUAAUUCUGAACCAGAUUACUAGCAGUUAUAUAUUUAUAUUUAUCUUUAAUUUGUUUACUUAGUUAAUCUUAAGUACUAAAACUUAUAAUCCUUUUGUUCGGAAAUCGCUUUCUUACAUCGUAACUUACGUUUUUUUUUCUUUUGAAAGUUUUUAAAACCUCGCAAGUGCAUUUACACGAACCUAUGAUUUCAGACCUAGUAGCUGGAAUCUAAGUCUCUGAGACUUGUUGUCCCUAGAGCGCCGGUUCGUAAGUUAUUCAAAACUGUGAAGCUGGUCAGCCUUCACUGCAGCCCUAACCAGUUUACGAGCUAGCCAGCCUUUCACUGCAGGGUCUGUUCAUGUUCAUGUUUUUCAGUAGGGCUUUGCAACUUCUUUCAAAGCGCACAGGUGUGGUUUUAAGCUCUAAAGACUCUCUUUCGAAGUAGUUGCUGUGCACUCGCACGCCAAAUCCGGACAAGUUUCCAUAAUUAUCUGUUUAACGAACCCACUUUAGAAAUGUUAAAUCCGAGUUUUCGAUUUUCGGCUGUAAUUUCAUUAGAGUGAAUUUUUGUAAUUUACUAAAUAGUUAAUGAGAAAUCUCUAAAAUUGCUUAGAUAAAAAAAUCUGAGAAAAAAGAUCACGUGAAAUUUAUAUAGAAUGAAUAUAUGAGUUAAGGCAAAAAAUUGUUCUUUUUGUGUAAGCCAAUAGUAAAUCAUAAGCAAUAUUAAAAUCAGCUGCGCUAAACUUGAAAAAUAAUCAGUAAGAACUGCAAGUGAUUUAAAAACAAAAUCUAUUUAUCCUAAUACAUAUAAAGUUCAAGUGAAAGUAAAUGUAUAAUAUUAUAAUGUUUAGUUUUUGUUUUUAAUAAGACUGUUUUAGUAGAUUAACAAUAAGCCUAAGGAAAAAUACUAACAUAAUUAAUUGUUUUACAUGUAAAUGUUUACAAAUUUAUAAGCUGAAAAAUAUAAAAACUGUGAGCAGCUAUUGAAGUUGGCUAAAGGUAUUGAUUGUGUUAUUAGUAAGAAAAUAUGAUUUAUAAUUCGAAAUUUAUGAUAAGUCAAAUUUACCAAAAAAAAAAUAAAAAAUAUGCAUUAGUUUAACGAGAGUAUAUU